rnacentral:snoRNA from 1 species
ACGUCUCACGCCUUGCUCGGUCUGCUGUCAUCAGUCGCAUUGAUCUUGAGCUGGAUGCUGCUCGAUCCUUUUCAAGGAAUCUGGGCAUGUACGAGACAAGAUCAAACACCCAUCUGCCGACUUUUGAGUACGACCACAUCGUUCUUCACCCUGGUGACGGUCGUAAUUAUAUGGCAGAACAACC